rnacentral:rRNA from 1 species
GACGAACGCUGGCGGCGUGCUUAACACAUGCAAGUCGAACGGAAAGGCCCUGCUUUUGUGGGGUGCUCGAGUGGCGAACGGGUGAGUAACACGUGAGUAACCUGACCUUGACUUUGGGAUAACUUCAGGAAACUGGGGCUAAUACCGGAUAGGAGCUCCUGCUGCAUGGUGGGGGUUGGAAAGUUUCGGCGGUUGGGGAUGGACUCGCGGCUUAUCAGCUUGUUGGUGGGGUAGUGGCUUACCAAGGCAUUGACGGGUAGCCGGCCUGAGAGGGUGACCGGCCACAUGGGUACUGAGAUACGGCCCAGAGUCCUACGGUAGGCAGCAGUGGGGAAUAUUGCACAAUGGGCGGAAGCCUGAUGCAGCAACGCCGCGUGCGGGAUGACGGCCUUCUGGGUGUAAACCGCUUUCGCCUGUGACGAAGCGUGAGUGACGGUAAUGGGUAAAGAAGCACCGGCUAACUACGUG